rnacentral:rRNA from 1 species
UACGAAGGGUGCAAGCGUUAAUCGGAAUUACUGGGCGUAAAGCGCGCGUAGGUGGUUCAGCAAGUUGGAUGUGAAAGCCCCGGGCUCAACCUGGGAACUGCAUCCAAAACUACUGAGCUAGAGUACGGUAGAGGGUGGUGGAAUUUCCUGUGUAGCGGUGAAAUGCGUAGAUAUAGGAAGGAACUCACCAGUGGCGAAGGCGAUCACCUGGACUGAAUACUGACACUGAGGUGCGAAAGCG